rnacentral:rRNA from 1 species
UUGCGGGGUUAAGGCCCCCUACAGACCAUGGGGUUGAUAGGCCAGAACUGUACGCACAGCAAUGUGUUCAGGUGACUGGUACUAAUCGGCCGAGGACUUACCAACAACAC